AUAUUUUUUUAUAAUAUAAGAACACUAAAAUAUCAACUUUUAUUUUUUUAUAAGGUAUAGCUAGAAAUUGAAUGGAGAUCAAUUAACCAGUGAAAGGUUAUGCAGGGCGCAAUGGCGGUAAGCAUGCUUAACUGAAAGACUUAAAAGUCGCACAGAUACGUAAGUAGGGCAUAGUGACCCCUCGCUAUAUAAUGGAAUAGACGGGGAUCAAUUGAUAAAAGUUACGCUAGGGAUAACAGGCUGAUAGCCGGCGAGAGUACACAUUGUCCCGG
rnacentral:ncRNA from 1 species